rnacentral:rRNA from 1 species
UACAGAGGGGGCAAGCGUUGUUCGGAAUUAUUGGGCGUAAAGGGCGCGUAGGCGGUGCGGUAAGUCACUUGUGAAAUCUCCGGGCUUAACUCGGAACGGUCAAGUGAUACUGUCGGACUAGAGUACAGAAGGGGCAACUGGAAUUCUCGGUGUAGCGGUGAAAUGCGUAGAUAUCUGCAGGAACACCCGUAGCGAAGGCGGCACUCUGGGCCGGAACUGACGCUGAGGAGCGAAAGCGUGGGGAGCGAACAGG